rnacentral:sRNA from 1 species
GGUUUAUUACUACUGAAGGAAGAACGUGAGUAGGCCAGAUCAGAAAAGGGAGCUCAGGUACCUUCCAGAGAGUGAGACCCAGCGCCCUUGUCUCGCACCCCGUAGGCUUUCAUCCCCGCCAUGGCGGAGCUGAUCCAGAAGAAGCUGCAGGGAGAAGUGGAGAAAUAUCAACAGCUACAGAAGGACUUAAGUAAAUCCAUGUCGGGGAGGCAGAAACUUGAAGCACAACUAACAGAAAAUAAUAUCGUGAAAGAGGAACUGGCCCUGCUGGAUGGGUCCAACGUGGUCUUUAAACUUCUGGGUCCGGUACUAGUCAAACAGGAGCUGGGGGAGGCUCGGGCCACAGUAGGGAAGAGGCUGGACUAUAUCACAGCUGAAAUGUGAGUUUUUAUUCCACCACCGUGUGCUGCAAGUGAAUCAUUGGAGUAGAGGUGUUGAACCAUUGCAGAACAGCUCUCCAUAGUGGCCCCUAGUCCUCCAGUUCCUCCAACCCUUUCCUUCCCUUUUAACCCCCCUUCUUCUCCCUCCCCUAGAUCUCAAGUUUUCCACCUAUCUCUUGCGUUUAGCACCCUCCAUAGUUAAGUCCUACUGAUUUCUCCCUUUCUGCUUGUCUCCCUUGUCUCUCCUUAGUAAGCGAUACGAAUCCCAGCUCCGGGAUCUUGAGCGGCAGUCAGAGCAACAGAGGGAGACCCUUGCUCAGCUGCAGCAGGAGUUCCAGCGGGCCCAGGCAGCAAAGGCAGGGGCUCCUGACAAGGCCUGACCCCAUGGUCGGGGGUGGGGAGGGGAGGGGAGGGG